rnacentral:rRNA from 1 species
AAAUUGAAGAGUUUGAUCAUGGCUCAGAUUGAACGCUGGCGGCAGGCCUAACACAUGCAAGUCGAGCGGUAGCACAGAGAGCUUGCUCUCGGGUGACGAGCGGCGGACGGGUGAGUAAUGUCUGGGAAACUGCCUGAUGGAGGGGGAUAACUACUGGAAACGGUAGCUAAUACCGCAUAAUGUCGCAAGACCAAAGUGGGGGACCUUCGGGCCUCAUGCCAUCAGAUGUGCCCAGAUGGGAUUAGCUAGUAGGUGGGGUAAUGGCUCACCUAGGCGACGAUCCCUAGCUGGUCUGAGAGGAUGACCAGCCACACUGGAACUGAGACACGGUCCAGACUCCUACGGGAGGCAGCAGUGGGGAAUAUUGCACAAUGGGCGCAAGCCUGAUGCAGCCAUGCCGCGUGUGUGAAGAAGGCCUUCGGGUUGUAAAGCACUUUCAGCGGGGAGGAAGGCGAUAAGGUUAAUAACCUUGUCGAUUGACGUUACCCGCAGAAGAAGCACCGGCUAACUCCGUGCCAGCAGCCGCGGUAAUACGGAGGGUGCAAGCGUUAAUCGGAAUUACUGGGCGUAAAGCGCACGCAGGCGGUCUGUCAAGUCGGAUGUGAAAUCCCCGGGCUUAACCUGGGAACUGCAUUCGAAACUGGCAGGCUAGAGUCUUGUAGAGGGGGGUAGAAUUCCAGGUGUAGCGGUGAAAUGCGUAGAGAUCUGGAGGAAUACCGGUGGCGAAGGCGGCCCCCUGGACAAAGACUGACGCUCAGGUGCGAAAGCGUGGGGAGCAAACAGGAUUAGAUACCCUGGUAGUCCACGCCGUAAACGAUGUCGAUUUGGAGGUUGUGCCCUUGAGGCGUGGCUUCCGGAGCUAACGCGUUAAAUCGACCGCCUGGGGAGUACGGCCGCAAGGUUAAAACUCAAAUGAAUUGACGGGGGCCCGCACAAGCGGUGGAGCAUGUGGUUUAAUUCGAUGCAACGCGAAGAACCUUACCUGGUCUUGACAUCCACAGAACUUUCCAGAGAUGGAUUGGUGCCUUCGGGAACUGUGAGACAGGUGCUGCAUGGCUGUCGUCAGCUCGUGUUGUGAAAUGUUGGGUUAAGUCCCGCAACGAGCGCAACCCUUAUCCUUUGUUGCCAGCGGUCCGGCCGGGAACUCAAAGGAGACUGCCAGUGAUAAACUGGAGGAAGGUGGGGAUGACGUCAAGUCAUCAUGGCCCUUACGACCAGGGCUACACACGUGCUACAAUGGCAUAUACAAAGAGAAGCGACCUCGCGAGAGCAAGCGGACCUCAUAAAGUAUGUCGUAGUCCGGAUUGGAGUCUGCAACUCGACUCCAUGAAGUCGGAAUCGCUAGUAAUCGUAGAUCAGAAUGCUACGGUGAAUACGUUCCCGGGCCUUGUACACACCGCCCGUCACACCAUGGGAGUGGGUUGCAAAAGAAGUAGGUAGCUUAACCUUCGGGAGGGCGCUUACCACUUUGUGAUUCAUGACUGGGGUGAAGUCGUAACAAGGUAACCGUAGGGGAACCUGCGGUUGGAUCACCUCCUUACCUUAAAGAA